rnacentral:rRNA from 1 species
GACGAACGCUGGCGGCGUGCUUAACACAUGCAAGUCGAGCGGUAAGGCCCUUUCGGGGUACGACGAGCGGCGAACGGGUGAGUAACGCGUGGGUGACCUGCCUCAGCUCUGGGAUAAGCCUGGGAAACCGGGUCGUAAUACUGGAUAUGACUCCAUGACGCAUGUUGUGGGGUGGAAAGCCUUGUGCGGCUGAGGAUGGCCCGCGGCCUAUCAGCUUGUUGGUGGGGUGAUGGCCUACCAAGGCGACGACGGGUAGCCGGCCUGAGAGGGCGACCGGCACACUGGGACUGAGACACGGCCCAGACUCC